GCUACCGACGAAGAAGGGAACGGAGAUUGUCGCGGUGUAUAUUAGGAAUCCGGCGGCGACGCUGACGGUGCUUUACUCGCAUGGCAACGCGGCUGAUCUAGGUCAGAUGUACGAGUUGUUUGUCGAACUAAGUCACCUUCUCCGGGUCAAUUUGAUGGGAUAUGACUAUUCAGGGUAUGGGCGGUCCACCGGCAAGCCUAGUGAGCAGAAUACUUACGCCGACAUAGAAGCUGCAUAUAGAUGUCUUGAAGAGACAUAUGGGGUGAAAGAGGAAGAUGUCAUACUAUAUGGACAGUCGGUUGGUAGUGGACCCACACUGGAUCUGGC
rnacentral:misc_RNA from 1 species